rnacentral:rRNA from 1 species
UGGGGAAUUUUGGACAAUGGGCGCAAGCCUGAUCCAUCAAUGCCGCGUGCAGGAUUAAGGCCUUCGGUUUGUAAACUGCUUUUGUACGGAGCGAAAAGGUCUGCCCUAAUACGGUGGGCUCAUGACGGUACCGUAAGAAUAAGCAUCGGCUAACUACGUGCCAGCAGCCGCGGUAAUACGUAGGGUGCUAGCGUUAAUCGGAUUUACUGGGCGUAAAGCGUUCGCAGGCUGUUAUAUAAGACAGAUGUGAAAUCCCCGGGCUCAACCUGGGACCUGCAUUUGUGACUGAAUAGCUGGAGUACGGUAGAGGUGGAUGGAAUUCCGUGUGUAGCAAUGAAAUGCGUAGAUAUGCGGAGGAACACAGAUGGCGAAGGCAAUCACCUGGACCUGUAAUGACGCUCAUGCACGAAAGCGUGGGGAGCAAACA